AGGAGCGGCCGAUGUCUGAUUAGCUAGUUGGUGGGGUAAAGGCCUACCAAGGCGACGAUCAGUAGUUGGUCUGAGAGGACGACCAACCACACUGGGACUGAGACACGGCCCAGACCCCUACGGGAGGCAGCAGUGGGGAAUUUUGGACAAUGGGGGCAACCCUGAUCCAGCCAUGCCGCGUGAGUGAAGAAGGCCUUCGGGUUGUAAAGCUCUUUCAGCCGGGAAGAAAAUGCAUGGGUUAAUACCCUGUGCAGAUGACGGUACCGGAAUAAGAAGCACCGGCUAACUGCGUGCCAGCAGCCGCGGUAAUACGUAGGGUGCGAGCGUUAAUCGGAAUUACUGGGCGUAAAGGGUGCGCAGGCGGUUUUGUAAGUCGGAUGUGAAAUCCCCGGGCUUAACCCGGGAAUGGCGUUUGAAACUACAAGGCUAG
rnacentral:rRNA from 1 species